CCUACGGGAGGCUGCAGUGAGGAAUAUUGGUCAAUGGCCGGGAGGCUGAACCAGCCAAGUCGCGUGAGGGAAGACGGCCCUACGGGUUGUAAACCUCUUUUGUCAGGGAGCAAGGUGCAGGUCGGGACCUGCUGUGAGAGUACCUGAAGAAAAAGCAUCGGCAAACUCCGUUCCAGCUGCCGCGGUAAUACGGAGGAUGCGAGCGUUAUCCGGAUUUAUUGGGGUUAAGGGGUUGGCAGGCGGAGGAAAAGGUCAGCGGUAAAAUCGCGGGGCUCAACCCCGCUCCGCCGUUGAAACUGUGUGCCUUGAGUGCGCGAAGGGUAGGCGGAAUGCGUGGUGUAGCAGUGAAAUGCAUAGAUAUCACGCAGAACUCCGAUCGCGAAGGCAGCCUACCGGCGCGCAACUGACGCUCAUGCACGAAAGCGUGGGUAUCGAACAGGAUUAGAUACCCCAGUAGUC
rnacentral:rRNA from 1 species